rnacentral:misc_RNA from 1 species
GGUUGAGGCAAGUUUGCUUUAGGAGGUCCAUCACCAAUUCCCUUAGGAAAGGAAAGUACACUUGCCCAAUACCCCACAUAACGGCGUUGGCUUGGUAUGGAGACUCCUUCAUUGUUUGUCGUCCGUUUAUUUGCAUACAAUUGAAGAGCCUCCUCUGCUGUCAUGCCACUGUAAACAAGGUAGGCACACACCAUUAAGCCUGUUCUACCUUUACCUGCC